UGAAUUUGUUCAUAAAGCUUCAUCCAUCCUGCGUCCAAAAACCUUCAGCCUUUUGGUCAAGCUCAGGAUCUUAGUCUGAUUAUCUAUCCUCUCCUUGAUCACAUCAAGGUUAUUCGAAAACCAAGAGGAAGGAGUAUUAGAAAGUGAAAGGAGUUAAGUGAAAUUAACUAUAAGCUUGUGCUUAAACUUCACUGUAUUACCACUAUUAAGGAUUAUUUUCCAUGUCAUAGUAGGAUAUGUGGCUUUGAUGAAUAUUGCCUAAAGACUUGUGAAGCUGAGUAUGGUGAGGAAACCUAGAAAAGGUGUGAGUUCGACUUCAAAAAUGGAUUAGAAUUUAGUGGGGGAUCAAGUCAAGUCUGGAAGCAUUACAAGAUAGAAGAGUUGGCCUACAGUUAGAAAAACACUAAGCGUAUUACCUUUGGUAAAGUAGUGGAGUAAUGUGAAUUUUUUAAAGAGAAGUAUAAUCGUGCGUAAAUGAAUCCGAUAACAUCGUUCCUUUAUAGUUCAGUCACAGCUAGAAGCCGCAAAUGAUUCUGCUUCUUUUUCUUGCUAAGGAACUACUUGUUGUUUAAGUUCACAAUGUUGAUCAAACUGGGCACUUUAAUGGCUCUAAAGAAGUAUGACUUUGCUGGAGUUGCAUGGAUGAAUAUCAUACAUGGAUUUUUUAGGAAAAGAUUUGGAUCAUACUGAGCACACGGCUAUCUAAAAUGCAACGUUUUACGAGUGCUAGUUCAUCUGUCAAGAGCAGUAUGCAGUGGUGUUCGUUAGCAAUUUGUAUGCCCUUUCGCAAGCUUCGUUGAAUCAAAGUAUCUAUAAGUCAUGUUAAUAGUAACACUGGAUCUGAAAAGAUUUUUGCUUGGUGCAGGACAUCGAAUAAAUUGUAAUGAUUUGGUGAAGGAUUUGGAAUUGCUGUGCUUUAUUCAGAUUCCCCAGAUGGUAUUUAAUAUUUCAAAAAUUGAAGUGCAUAUCUGG